GAUGAACGCUGGCGGCGUGCCUAAUACAUGCAAGUCGAGCGAACAGACGAGGAGCUUGCUCCUCUGACGUUAGCGGCGGACGGGUGAGUAACACGUGGAUAACCUACCUAUAAGACUGGGAUAACUUCGGGAAACCGGAGCUAAUACCGGAGCAUAUAUUGAACCGCAUGGUUCAAUAGUGAAAGACGGUUUUGCUGUCACUAAUAGAUGGAUCCGGGCCGGAUUAGCUAGUUGGUAAGGUAACGGCUUACCAAGGCAACGAUGCGUAGCCGACCUGAGAGGGUGAUCGGCCACACUGGAACUGAGACACGGUCCAGACUCCUACGGGAGGCAGCAGUGGGGAAUCUUCCGCAAUGGGCGAAAGCCUGACGGAGCAACGCCGCGUGAGUGAUGAAGGUCUUCGGAUCGUAAAACUCUGUUAUUAGGGAAGAAAAAAUGUGUAAGUAACUAUGCACGUCUUGACGGUACCUAAUCAGAAAGCCACGGCUAACUACGUG
rnacentral:rRNA from 1 species